rnacentral:ribozyme from 1 species
CCAAACCUAAAAAGCCAAAGAAAAAGAAGGGCGUAAAAAAGAAUGAGGUGAAAAAGGAAAGUAACAACAACUUUGCAUGGUCUGCGUU